rnacentral:rRNA from 1 species
GAUGAACGCUAGCGGGAGGCCUAACACAUGCAAGCCGAGCGGUAUUGUUUCUUCGGAAAUGAGAGAGCGGCGUACGGGUGCGGAACACGUGUGCAACCUGCCUUUAUCUGGGGGAUAGCCUUUCGAAAGGAAGAUUAAUACUCCAUAAUAUAUUGAACGGCAUCGUUUAAUAUUGAAAGCUCCGGCGGAUAGAGAUGGGCACGCGCAAGAUUAGCUCGUUGGUGAGGUAACGGCUCACCAAGGCGAUGAUCUUUAGGGGGCCUGAGAGGGUGAUCCCCCACACUGGGACUGAGACACGGACCAGACUCCUACGGGAGGCAGCAGUGAGGAAUAUUGGUCAAUGGGUGCAAGCCUGAACCAGCCAUCCCGCGUGAAGGACGACUGCCCUAUGGGUUGUAAACUUCUUUUGUAUAGGGAUAACCUACCCUCGUGAGGGUAGCUGAAGGUACUAUACGAAUAAGCACCGGCUAACUCCGUGCCAGCCGCCGCAGUAA